GGCCUAACACAUGCAAGUCGAGCGGUAGAGAGAAGCUUGCUUCUCUUGAGAGCGGCGGACGGGUGAGUAAUGCCUAGGAAUCUGCCUGGUAGUGGGGGAUAACGUUCGGAAACGGACGCUAAUACCGCAUACGUCCUACGGGAGAAAGCAGGGGACCUUCGGGCCUUGCGCUAUCAGAUGAGCCUAGGUCGGAUUAGCUAGUUGGUGAGGUAAUGGCUCACCAAGGCKACGAUCCGUAACUGGUCUGAGAGGAUGAUCAGUCACACUGGAACUGAGACACGGUCCAGACUCCUACGGGAGGCAGCAGUGGGGAAUAUUGGACAAUGGGCGAAAGCCUGAUCCAGCCAUGCCGCGUGUGUGAAGAAGGUCUUCGGAUUGUAAAGCACUUUAAGUUGGGAGGAAGGGUUGUAGAUUAAUACUCUGCAAUUUUGACGUUACCGACAGAAUAAGCACCGGCUAACUCUGUGCCAGCAGCCGCGGUAAUACAGAGGGUGCAAGCGUUAAUCGGAAUUACUGGGCGUAAAGCGCGCGUAGGUGGUUUGUUAAGUUGGAUGUGAAAUCCCCGGGCUCAACCUGGGAACUGCAUUCAAAACUGACUGACUAGAGUAUGGUAGAGGGUGGUGGAAUUUCCUGUGUAGCGGUGAAAUGCGUAGAUAUAGGAAGGAACACCAGUGGCGAAGGCGACCACCUGGACUAAUACUGACACUGAGGUGCGAAAGCGUGGGGAGCAAACAGGAUUAGAUACCCUGGUAGUCCACGCCGUAAACGAUGUCAACUAGCCGUUGGGAGCCUUGAGCUUUUAGUGGCGCAGCUAACGCAUUAAGUUGACCGCUGGGGAGUACGGCCGCAAGGUUAAAACUCAAAUGAAUUGACGGGGGCCCGC
rnacentral:rRNA from 1 species